CUUGGACAAAUGAGGAAUCAAUGUUUAAUGGGUAAUUUGCAUCUGAAUAUUUCAUUGAUGCUAACAUCUUGGAGAUCUGAUGCCUCUC